GCCUACCAUGCAAGUCGAGCGGUAGCACAAGAGAGCUUGCUCUCUGGGUGACGAGCGGCGGACGGGUGAGUAAUGUCUGGGAAACUGCCUGAUGGAGGGGGAUAACUACUGGAAACGGUAGCUAAUACCGCAUAACGUCUUCGGACCAAAGUGGGGGACCUUCGGGCCUCACGCCAUCAGAUGUGCCCAGAUGGGAUUAGCUAGUAGGUGGGGUAAUGGCUCACCUAGGCGACGAUCCCUAGCUGGUCUGAGAGGAUGACCAGCCACACUGGAACUGAGACACGGUCCAGACUCCUACGGGAGGCAGCAGUGGGGAAUAUUGCACAAUGGGCGCAAGCCUGAUGCAGCCAUGCCGCGUGUGUGAAGAAGGCCUUCGGGUUGUAAAGCACUUUCAGCGAGGAGGAAGGGNAGUGUGUUAAUAGCACAUUNCAUUGACGUUACUCGCAGAAGAAGCACCGGCUAACUCCGUGCCAGCAGCCGCGGUAAUACGGAGGGUGCAAGCGUUAAUCGGAAUUACUGGGCGUAAAGCGCACGCAGGCGGUUUGUUAAGUCAGAUGUGAAAUCCCCGCGCUUAACGUGGGAACUGCAUUUGAAACUGGCAAGCUAGAGUCUUGUAGAGGGGGGUAGAAUUCCAGGUGUAGCGGUGAAAUGCGUAGAGAUCUGGAGGAAUACCGGUGGCGAAGGCGGCCCCCUGGACAAAGACUGACGCUCAGGUGCGAAAGCGUGGGGAGCAAACAGGAUUAGAUACCCUGGUAGUCCACGCUGUAAACGAUGUCGACUUGGAGGUUGUGCCCUUGAGGCGUGGCUUCCGGAGCUAACGCGUUAAGUCGACCGCCUGGGGAGUACGGCCGCAAGGUUAAAACUCAAAUGAAUUGACGGGGGCCCGCACAAGCGGUGGAGCAUGUGGUUUAAUUCGAUGCAACGCGAAGAACCUUACCUACUCUUGACAUCCAGAGAAUUCGCUAGAGAUAGCUUAGUGCCUUCGGGAACUCUGAGACAGGUGCUGCAUGGCUGUCGUCAGCUCGUGUUGUGAAAUGUUGGGUUAAGUCCCGCAACGAGCGCAACCCUUAUCCUUUGUUGNCAGCACGUAAUGGUGGGAACUCAAAGGAGACUGCCGGUGAUAAACCGGAGGAAGGUGGGGAUGACGUUCAAGUCAUCAUGGCCCUUACGAGUAGGGCUACACACGUGCUACAAUGGCGUAUACAAAGAGAAGCGAACUCGCGAGAGCCAGCGGACCUCAUAAAGUACGUCGUAGUCCGGAUCGGAGUCUGCAACUCGACUCCGUGAAGUCGGAAUCGCUAGUAAUCGUAGAUCAGAAUGCUACGGUGAAUACGUUCCCGGGCCUUGUACACACCGCCCGUCACACCAUGGGAGUGGGUUGCAAAAGAAGUAGGUAGCUUAACCUUCGGGAGGGCGCUUACCACUUUGUGAUUCAUGACUGGGGUGAAGUCGUAACAAGGUAACCAA
rnacentral:rRNA from 1 species